UGGGGAAUAUUGCACAAUGGGCGCAAGCCUGAUGCAGCCAUGCCGCGUGUAUGAAGAAGGCCUUCGGGUUGUAAAGUACUUUCAGCGGGGAGGAAGGGAGUAAGGUUAAUACCUUUGCUCAUUGACGUUACCCGCAGAAGAAGCACCGGCUAACUCCGUGCCAGCAGCCGCGGUAAUACGGAGGGUGCAAGCGUUAAUCGGAAUUACUGGGCGUAAAGCGCACGCAGGCGGUUUGUUAAGUCAGAUGUGAAAUCCCUGGGCUCAACCUGGGAACUGCAUCUGAUACUGGCAAGCUUGAGUCUCGUAGAGGGGGGUAGAAUUCCAGGUGUAGCGGUGAAAUGCGUAGAGAUCUGGAGGAAUACCGGUGGCGAAGGCGGCCCCCUGGACGAAGACUGACGCUCAGGUGCGAAAGCGUGGGGAGCAAACA
rnacentral:rRNA from 1 species